UUUUACUGUAUGCAAUAUCUGUGUAAAAUUUCCAUAAAUUAGUUUUCCCAAAACUAAACUAAAUUAGUUUUAUAAUAAUUUUGCUAUAUAAUUUAUUGUCCUAUUCAUUUGUUGUAUCUCCCAAAAUGCAUAAUAAACAUGCUUUUAGUCCUGGUGUCGAUACAGUUAUGACAUAAUGAAGCCUCGUUUACUGAAAUCACGUGCCUCUGGCAGUUUGAUACGCGCCCGGAACCACUGUUUCGAAACGAAUGUUUCACAAAAGCAGUGCUUAAAAAGCGUCCAUCACGUGUAUCUUUGUAAAUGCAUUUAUGUCACCUCUAAACACCAUCAAACAGUCUACAGUCAACAGUUAAGACCACACUUAAAUACGCCACCUGGUGGUGAAAACGGUGUAAAUGCAAGUUUUAGAAACGGCAAUAGCAAAUAGAAUAGCAAAUGACAGUGUUAUCGAUCAACCUGUUACCUUAAAAUAACACGUCACGUCAUAAGUACGAUUAUUUCGAAAUGACAGCACGUGACGUUCUAAUCGAAGUUGUUCACGUCCUUGGAAUCGGAAUUAUGCAUUUGUAUGGCAACACUAUCAACACCUAAAUAUAGCAGCUAAAUGAACCCAAGAGCCUGAGGCGGUCAGGUCGAUCAUACAAGUCAUAAGCUCGCAGUUUACAAGCUGUAAUUACGAGUACUACGAGGAUGUGAACACGUUUUACAAGUUGAAUCUCAUAAUUACGCUUUUCUCUUCACAAGACAUUAACUGAUGGACUGGAGUGGUGUGGAUUAUUGUGAUGUUUUUAUCAGCUGUUUGAACUCUCAUUCUGACGGCACCCAUUCACCGCAGAGCAUCCAUUGGUGAACAAGUGAUGCAAUGCUACAUUUCUCCAAAUCUGAAGAAGAAAUAAACUACACGUCUUGGAUGGCCUGGGGGUGAGAAAAUUUUCAGCAAAUUUUAAUUUUUGGUUGAACUAUUCCUUUAAAUAAGUACGAUCUACAAUGGGCUUUAGUGGUGGUUCCAGAAGGCAAUACAUUGUGCAGUUACAAACAUCAGCCGAAAGGUUGUGCUGAUGCUCAACUACAUAACCAACACACGUUUUCAGUCUAGAAUGUUUAUUAUGAAGGUACAGGC
ensembl:lncRNA